rnacentral:miRNA from 2 species
UUUUUUGCUGGAACAUUUCUGG